AACAACAAAAAGACAAUGAAAACAAGAUUCGUAAAUACAUAUUGGUGGUGGCGCCCGUUACAACUCCUACAGUCGUAAGGGAGCAGCGCUCGUAUGUAUAUAUGUAAUCAGUAACUGAUAUCGGAAAGAGCCCUG
rnacentral:ncRNA from 1 species